ACUCUUAUUGUUUAUCUUAAUUACCAUCACAUUCCUCAAGCACCAGGCAUAGAUCCCCGCAGGUGCAUGCAUAAAAGUCAAACCUAUAAGAUGGCCUGAAAAUUUCUCCUGCCUAGCCAAAGAACUACCUCUCUUUAUGGCAAGCUGACUGAAGAAGGGCCUCUUCCUUUUGCUGUUGCUGCCUACCACAAGUGUUAGCUACAUGCAGGGAAUCAAAGAAUGAGAACUUUGUGCUACAAUAUCAGCUCUUCUGGAGGUUUGUGCGUCUUCCCAAUUAUAUCAUUGUCACGACUUUCUCAAAUCAGGCGAGAAAUGCUUUUCCACUCUCUGGUCUUUCUUUCAUCCCUAGAAUGAGAUUGUGCAUCCUCCACCAGAAACUCUCCCGAAGGCU
rnacentral:lncRNA from 1 species